rnacentral:rRNA from 1 species
AGUGGGGAAUAUUGGACAAUGGGGGCAACCCUGAUCCAGCCAUGCCGCGUGAGUGAUGAAGGCCCUAGGGUUGUAAAGCUCUUUCAGCGAGGAGGAUAAUGACGUUACUCGCAGAAGAAGCCCCGGCUAACUUCGUGCCAGCAGCCGCGGUAAUACGAAGGGGGCUAGCGUUGUUCGGAAUCACUGGGCGUAAAGCGCACGUAGGCGGACUGAUCAGUCAGGGGUGAAAUCCCGGGGCUCAACCCCGGAACUGCCUUUGAUACUGUCAGUCUUGAGUCCGAGAGAGGUGAGUGGAACUCCGAGUGUAGAGGUGAAAUUCGUAGAUAUUCGGAAGAACACCAGUGGCGAAGGCGGCUCACUGGCUCGGUACUGACGCUGAGGUGCGAAAGCGUGGGGAGCAAA